GUGGGGAAUAUUGGUCAAUGGGCGCGAGCCUGAACCAGCCAAGUAGCGUGAGGGAUGACUGCCCUAUGGGUUGUAAACCUCUUUUGCAGGGGGGUAAAGUGGUUCACGUGUGGACCAUUGCAAGUACCCUGCGAAUAAGGAUCGGCUAACUCCGUGCCAGCAGCCGCGGUAAUACGGAGGAUCCGAGCGUUAUCCGGAUUUAUUGGGUUUAAAGGGAGCGUAGGCGGGGGUUUAAGUCAGCUGUGAAAUGCCGUGGCCCAACCAUGGAACUGCAGUUGAAACUGGACCUCUUGAGAGUACAUAAGGAAGGCGGAAUUCGUGGUGUAGCGGUGAAAUGCAUAGAUAUCACGAAGAACUCCGAUUGCGAAGGCAGCUUUCCGGGGUACAUCUGACGCUGAAGCUCGAAAGUGCGGGAAUCAAACAGGAUUAGAAACCCGAGUAGUCC
rnacentral:rRNA from 1 species